AUUGAACGCUGGCGGCAUGCCUUACACAUGCAAGUCGAACGGUAACAGGUUAAGCUGACGAGUGGCGAACGGGUGAGUAAUGUAUCGGAACGUGCCCAGUCGUGGGGGAUAACUGCUCGAAAGAGCAGCUAAUACCGCAUACGACCUGAGGGCGAAAGCGGUGGAUCGCAAGGCCUCGCGCGAUUGGAGCGGCCGCUAUCAGAUUAGGUAGUUGGGGAGGUAAAGGCUCACCAAGCCGACGAUCUGUAGCGGGUCUGAGAGGACGACCAGCCACACUGGGACUGAGACACGGCCCAGACUCCGACGGGAGGCAGAAGGGGGGAAUUUUGGACAAUGGGCGCAAGCCUGAUCCAGCAAUGCCGCGGGCGGGAAGAAGGCCUUCGGGUUGUAAACCGCUUUUGUCAGGGAAGAAAAGGUUCUGGCUAAUACCUGGGACUCAGGACGGUACCUGAAGAAUAAGCACCGGCUAACUACGG
rnacentral:rRNA from 1 species